GGUAGAUGGGAACAGAGCAGUGGAUUUUGUGUACCUUGACUUCAGCAAGGCUUUUGACACUUUCUUCCAUAACAUCCUCAUAGAUCUGCGCAUUUGGGGUUGCGUUAAUAUGAAACUAGAGCAAGAAAAGCCUGUCCUGUCAACGUUUUUAUAAAUCUCUACCCGAGGAAUUGCAUGGACACGUUAACUCUGAGCACCUGUUAUCACUGAAGAACCAGAGGACCAUUCUCCUGAAAACACAGGCCAUCAUCCAUUGUUAAAUUUCCAAAAUGACUGCUUUCUGUCUUUAAUAAUGUUGAAGAAAGGAGUGAGGUUUUUUGACAAUAAAAACUA